UCCGGUUUGUCACCGGCAGUCUCCCUAGAGUGCCCUUGCGUAGCAACUAGGGACAAGGGUUGCGCUCGUUGCGGGACUUAACCCAACAUCUCACGACACGAGCUGACGACAGCCAUGCAGCACCUGUGUUCCCGUUCCCUUUCGGGCACAACCCCCUCUCAGGGGCCUUCGGGACAUGUCAAGGGUAGGUAAGGUUGUUCGCGUUGCAUCGAAUUAAUCCACAUCAUCCACCGCUUGUGCGGGUCCCCGUCAAUUCCUUUGAGUUUUAACCUUGCGGCCGUACUCCCCAGGCGGUCGACUUCACGCGUUAGCUACGGUACUGGGAAAUCGCUUCCCCAACACCCAGUCGACAUCGUUUAGGGCGUGGACUAC
rnacentral:misc_RNA from 1 species